CCCACAUCCAGAUUUCAGUUGGGAUCAGGAGAACAUUUCUGAUGUGAAUUUCCCAUUUACUGUGCUGGUUCCAGCUGAUAAUGGACAACCGCAGGGCUAAGCAGGAGCUUGGCUGGAAUCACAUCAACCUCUCCACCACGCCGCUGGCACAGACAUAGGAUUUGGAGAACAAGCUGUUUCACCCCCCAGCACCUCUCCUACUGCUAACGUAGACAUUGCUUGAGUGAAUCCUGCUGACUUGAUUGAUCCUGUAUAAUCAAUGCGAUUGUUUGUACGAGCGAAGUUGAUAGAUCUGUCCCUAAGUGGCAUUUACUCCACCAUAUCAUUUGGCAUACAAAUCAGCAGAUCAGGGCAGUGGUAACUGUUUUGUUACCACUCUGAAUUUAGGAAAAAAUCUAUUAAAGUCACUGGAGAAGGUCCAUAUUUACAGUAGAAUAACUGAUGUUAGCACUUGCCUGGUUUUAUUUAGAUGUGUAGAGCAACCUUGCUCUGGAGGUAGUUUAAAGAAAUAUUUCUGCCUUUUGGAGUUUUUGAAUUUAGGGCUAUUGGAAGAAGUAAUCUAGUUUUUUAUGAUUUCUUUCUUCCAAAAUAUUAUAUCCAUGUGAUAAUUAUGCAUUUGGUUACAUAGUUGUAAAUCUGCAUACUGCUAUUUGUACUCAGUGACAAAAUAUACUUUUAGCUUUUUUAAUGGUUACAGUAAAAUUCUCCAUAAUUUAUACCACAAGUAGCAAUUUUCACCUAGAAAUAUUGAUGACAUCUUCCCUGUGGAAAUGAACAGGUUUUAAUACAAUAAUAAAACAUGCCCUGUCUUCUUAGUUAGUCUCCAUUGAUUAAACAUGCAGGUUAUUUACAAAAAGCCUAACGCAAUGGAAAGGAAGAAUAACCAAUGCAAUGGCUGUAUCGCCAGGUUCACAUGCAAUUCAUCUUUGCUAAGCUAGCUGAGCCUUUAUAAUCUCAGGCAUUUAUGAAAUAAUAGGGAGAAAGCUUUAGGUUAAGCAUAUUAAGUAUAUAAAGUCUUUGUUUAAUUUGUUUCUUAAGAUGAAAUUCUCCUGUUCUUGAGGGAAAAGGAAGCACUUGCUCAGUUAAAGCCAUAGACAUAGAAUCAUAGAAUAGUUCGUGUGGGAAAGGACGAGAAUCGUAGAGUCAGAGAAUAGUUCGGGUUGGAAGGGACCUUCAAAGCUUAUCUAGUCCAACCCCCCUGCAAUGAACAGAGACACCUUCAAUUACUUCAGGUUGCUCAGAGUCCCGUCCAGCCUGGCCUUGAAUGUCUCCAGGGAUGGGGCAUCUACCACCUCUCUGGGCAACCUGGGCCAGUGUUUCACCACCCUCAUUGUAAAAAAUGUCUUCCUUAUGACCAGCCUGAAUCUCCCCUCUUUUAAUUUAAAAUCAUCACCCCUUGUCCUGUUGUAACAGGCCCUUCUAAGAAGUCUGUCUCCAUCUUUGUUAUAGGUCCCUUUUAGGUACUGAAAGGCCACAAUGAGGUCUUCCUGGAGCCUUCUCUUUUCCAGGCUGAACAACACCAACUCCUCAUUUUGUCCUCAUAAGGGGAUCUGUUCCAGCCCUCUGAUCAUUUUGGUGUCCCUCCUCUGGCCCCUCUCCAACAGGUCCAUGUCUUUCCUGUACUGAGGUCUCCAGAGAUGGACUCAGCACUGCAGGUGGGGUCUCACCAGAGUGGAGCAAUGGGGCAGAAUCACCUCCCUGACCUGCUGGCCAUGCUCCUUGUGAUGCAUUCCAGGAUACAAUUGUCCUUCUGGGCUGCAAGUGCGCAUUGACGGCUCAUGUCCAAUCUCUCAUUCGCCAGCACCCCCAAGUCCUUCUCCGCAGAGCUGCUCUCAAUUCCUUCAUACCCCAGCCUGUACUGUUACCGGGGGUUGCCCCAACCCAGUUGCAGGACCUUGUACUUGGCCUUGUUGAACCUCAUGACACUCGCAUGGGUGCAGUUCUCGAGCUUAUCCAGGUCCCUCUGGAUGGCAUCCCAUCCCUCAGGCCUGUCAACUGCACCACUUCAGCUUGGUGUCAUCUGCAAACUUGCUGAGGGUGCACUUGAUCCUAAUGUCUGCGUCAUUGAUGAAGAUAUUAAACAUCACUAGUUCCAGUACAGUUGCCUGCGGGACACCACUUGUUACCGGUGUCCAUCCAGACAUUACGCCAUUGAUAGCUAUUCUCUGGGUGUGACCAUCCAGCCAGUUCCUCAUCCACUGAACAGUCCACCCAAUAAAGUUCAUAUCUCUCCAAUUUACAGAGAACGACGGUGAGGGGGAGAUGUCUAAGGCUUUACAGAAGUCCAGAUAGAAAACAUCCAUAUCCUUCCUUUGUCUGCUGAUGUAGUUGCUCCAUUGUAGAAGGUCACUAGGUUGGUCAGGCAGGAUUUGCCCUUGGUGACACUGUGCUGGCUGUCUCAUAUCACCUCCCUGUCCUCAAUGUGCCUUAUCACAGCCUCUAGGAGGAUCUGUUCCAUGAUCUUCCCAGGCACAGAGGGGAGGCUGACAGGUUGGUAGUUCCCGGGCUCCUCCUUUCUACUUCUUUAAAAAGUGAGUGUGAUGUUUCCCUUUUUCCAGUCACAAGGGACUUAACCUGACUACUACAACUUCUCAAAUAUCAUGGAGAGUGGAGAGAUCCUCACUUACGGUGGGAGGGACCUUGCUCCUCCAGUCCCUGUCCCGCAGCUCAUUUUUCACUCAAGAAGUAUGGGAAGAGAGCUUGCCUGUGAAGACUGAGGCAAACAAGUUGUUGAGUACCUCAGCCUUCUUGCAGUAGGAUGUAAGAAGCCCUGUCAGACCACUAAUCAAAACAAUCUUUAUGAUGCUGAAAUUCUGUAGUUUAUGGUUAAACAUCACAGUCCAGUAACCAGUAUCAUCCUCACAUGCCCUGUUUUACGCAUUACGGCAAUUAGUGAAGCAUAUAGUAUAUAUUUAGACCAAGGCUUUUUGUCAGGAGCAGGUGAUGUAGUGACUCAGCAAGGCAUCAUCAGAAGGUAUUUGCUAGUGCUAAGGCUUUGAACACCUCUGUGGGGGCUAGACCUGCCAGACUAAUACAAGGGGCUAUUUUUGUAACAUCCAGAAAGCUUCUGCUGUACAUCAAACUGUGCUAGCUGCUUAUUUUAGAUUACGGUAAUUCACACAUUUGUCUUGAACAAUACAGUCUUUAGCACUUUUUGUAUGUACCUCUCCUAAAAUGAAACUUUCCUGUGAAGCAUUUUGUAGAAGGGCUUCCAAACUGAGAUCAUCAGAGACAUUUUCAUCAGGCGCUUCAGAUGUACCAGCGAAUUAACAGCCCACGUACCAAAGGUAAGUAACAUCCAUGGCGAUGAGCUACCUGGCUCUCGGGGAGUACUCUGAGGGCAUGAUUGGGGACAACACAGACACCUGGAUUCAUCUUCUGCUUUUUUCUGCUGCGUUGGGGUUCAGCCCUGGGCAGUGCUACAGGCUACACUCUUAAACUGAUCCCAAAAGAAGCUCAAAUCAUAUGGCAUUGGGAUGAGGCCCUUCACCCACAAUAGAGCAAUACUACUUGUUCAUAUUAGACCAGCAGCUGUAUUUUUAUGCUCCAUCACUUCUUUUCUUGAUAACUAUUGAUAACCCAUUUUUAAUUUCCAUAAGCACCUUCCCUUUAAAUUCAGCUUUCAUAUUGCGGCCAUUGUAUAUAUAUAUGUGCUGUAAUCUCAGAAAAUGAAACCUUGCCUCCUUUUCCUUUAUUACUUCCCUCCAUCUCCGGCGAAACGUGUCCUUCCUCACUCUCACCUGCUCCCCAGCACCUCUCCAAUCAAGCCCAGCACCCCUCUCUCUCUGUUUCCACACAUCAAUGGAAGCAUUUUCCUCUCAUCUCUUCCUCCGUCACCUCCUCCACAGUGGGAAACUAGUCUUUUAUGGUGUUCAUUGUCAUUCCCGGCAAUGGAAAUCUCACCCUCCUUUCCAUACAUUCAGUUGUUCGAAAAUAACUCUUGAAAAUAACUUCCCUGAAACCCACGACUUUUCCUGUGGUUUUUGAUGUUGGAUCACAUGAAUGUGACAUGGACAGCCUGAUGCCAGCAGAGGGGCUGGGCUUUUCAUUCUCCUGGCUGCUGUUAAAUCUGCCCAUUGUGCUUGGAGGGUUAGUCUGAGCCUGAGAGCUGAGCAUUUCACCCUGACUUGUGUCUCCUUCUGUGUCCUUGAGCUGAUGGGGCAGAUCCUGACUGCAAAUAUGUGAAGCAGUAGAAGAUACCUGUGAGAUUCCAGCUGUGUCCCCAAGGUCAGAAUCAAGGACAAUCAAGAGAUAGUGGAAAUUACCACCAAAGCCAGGUCUCCCUGGACUGCCAGCGUCAUUCACGGCAGCAUGAGCAGAGGGUUUUCACCACAGCAGCUGUUACAAUCAUUGAUUUUUUUGUUCAGCAGCAGAACCAGAAUAAAAAGGAAGAUUUCUAUCAAGCUUCUGAAAUGCAAUCCUGAAAAAUUUAAUUUCAGAUCAGCAAAAUACACUAUUUGAAGGACAUGGUAUAAAAGCAGGGGGAAAAAGCCUGGAAUCAUGAAGUGGAAGAGUCAGGUAUGGCAGCUAUUCUUCCCUGACCUGGUACUCAACGGAAAAAGAUAUUCAGUGAGGUUAAAACCACAAUCUGCUACACGCAGGGAUUUGAGACAAAGCCCUUCUUUUACUGGAGUUCUUUAGCUUCAGCCAGAGGUCACCUGGAAUAAGAUGUUCUCCAGCUCUCCUGGGGUGGCUAUUUUACUUUUCAUUGCAACUGUACAAAUACUCAGCAGUCAAGAGGGAAAAUCACAUGUUCGAGUGAUUCUGCAGCGUAGGGGUUAGACUAGAUGACCUUUAAAGGUCUCUUCCAACCCAAACUGUUCUAUGAUUCUAUGGUUGAGACACAGCACCACUGGGUUUUAGUUUGAUGGCAAUGAACAUUGAAGCCAUUUACACCAAAUUAAACCAUAUUGAAAGAAGAGAUUUCUGAAACAUUCCCUGAAAAUUCUUGGCCGUGUGCUGGAUGAGCAGUGGCUGCCCUGAAGGAGGGCAGUGGCGGCCUCACGUCCUGCACCAUCAACCGUACACCUGGGAGAGAAGGGAGAAACUACCACUGAGGUCCAAACUGUUUAGCAGAUAAAACUAUUGCUGAAUUUGACUCAAAUUCAUAAAGAAUUGUUAUGACCCCAAACGGUAUUUUUUGAUGAAUAAAAGAAUGAAAAUCGUUGCUGCUAAA